CAAUUGUCAUGCCAGCGAAUUGGACCAUUUUGACCUGGUUAAGAUAUUUUAGCUGAUUUGAGUGGUGACCAGGUUCACCACGAAGUGCAAAUAACAGAAGGCCAUGAGAGCGUAUCACUCAACUCGCUUGUGAUCGCUGUGGAUGAGAACAUGCAAGCAGCUGCUGGCCUUUUGUAAGGAUGAACAGUGGCUUGGCCGGCUGGGGGGGCAUGCAGCUGUUGAAGGCUUGAAGCUAGAGGACAGCUCGAGAAAUUAGGAAAACAGGAUCCGGAUCAGCUUGCGGGGAGUCAUUCAGGCAGUGGGGGAGCUGGAAGCCCUGGAACAUGCGCGGGUGUGCUGUUUCCACGAGGCGAACAGGAGCGAGGCCGACGCUGGUGUCGUUCUUCCACACUCUCCUGAAACCGAAGUUACAGGCAAGCACGAGGGGAUAAAUGGGGAGAUCACAUCCACCCACUGGUUCUCAAAGAUAUCAUCUUCUGCGAGUUGUGUAGCGGCCAUGGCAUGUUCCGCAACCCGCCUCACGAGUGAGUUCUUUGGUUGUCUUAUCGGAUCCGUCUUAUUUCUCUUCUGUGCCUGACGAUAUACAUGGAAUUGGACGAGUCAAAGACGAUAAUAGUAACGAAUAAACA